ensembl:lncRNA
CUUAUGUUAUAUUCGACAGUGACCAAUAAAAAACGAGCCGCUCGUCAUGAAAAAACACAUAAGGGGUAACACUGUCACUUCUUAUCGGUCAUUGUCAAAUAAAACUUAAGGGGUAACACUGUCGCUUCACAUGAAAAAAUACAUAAGGGGUAACGCUUUUAAGGGGUGACACUUUAAUCGCUCGUCACGAGCGAUUAAAAAACCUUUUUUUUUUCGCUGACGACCAAAAAUAUUGUGAAUAGUGAAUUCUAGAUGAUUGAAAACAAUGAAACAAUAUUCAUAAACAUGAAAUGCAUUUAGUAUGUAUAUUUAUUUUGGAUUUAUAUCACAAAAGCCCACUUGCAACAUAUUUACAAUAUAUUGUACAAAAAUAUGAAAUGGCAGAUGCUAUCUAAGGCUUUAACAAUGCUACUUGGCACAUCAUGCUGGUAAAGGGUACAUAUGUAUAACUGUCGAUUAAUACAAACAUUAGUUCUGAUGGUACCGCUGUAUUCACAUCCAUAUGGCAUUGGGUUUAUCAAGUAUUUUCUUUAGGUUUGUUCAAGAAAAUAGCUAUACAAAUGUAUAUACAUGAUAUCAAAUGUUUUGGCUAACUAUCAAACAUAAACCCUUACCAAAACUAUACGGUCCUUAAAAACGUAGUAAACAAAGAUUCGAUGCCAAGCACCUUUUGAUCGAUGGAAACACAGACAUCAGUUCAGUACACCUGCAACACUGACAAGAAGGAUAUAGGAGGAAGGAUGGAUCCUGAACCGGAAUACUUGGGAAUCCCACACACACACGUAGCACGUAGCUCCUAGCACAUAGCUCCUAGCAUGCAGCCCGUGACCCGUAGCACGUCGCUCUUAGCACGUAGCUGAGACAGAAACAAACAGAAGCGGGCGCGAGGCUAACAGCAGAAGCGAGAGCUGCAAGAGGAGCACCGGGGAGCUCUGGGGAGCAGGUCAUCAUAACACUUUGGUGAGAAGAAGACUCUUGAAAUGUUUACAGUCCGACCUCGGGGCGGUCGGAGGGUGAACGCUUUAGCCUGGGAAGGCUCUAACAGAGACUACGAAACCCAACGACCCAGAAGCCCCUCGCACGCAAGAUCCACGUGCGGUCCUGCUUUACAUUGGAAAGUAUUAAGACCAUAUCUGACGUAUAUAAAAACAAAAAAACAAAGACGACAAAAAAAAAAAAAUUACGAUAUAAAAACCUUUCGCAGCAUUCCCUAAGUGCUCUCUCUCUUUCGAGCGAGGCGAACCCUUAAGCAAAUGCACGCGGGACUCGAACGCACGCCUCUCCAGGCGACCGGCCGAGCCCCCACACUCAAGACCUUAAGUGCACUUUUGAUCUGUACCUCUUUUUAAAACAAAGUGUCCGGCUCUCCGCGGCGCAACGGCGAAAACACCGGAGAUUUCAAUUGAAAUGUUUCAGCGGGUUGAACUGAAAUGGCGGCCCGGG